GUACCCUCAAGCUUUGCUUGGUGUUGGGCGUUGUUUGUCUUUGGUCCGCCCAAAGACUCGCCUUAAAACAAUUGGCAGCCGGCCUACUGGUUUCGCAGCGCAGCACAUUUUUGCGCUUGCAAUCAGCAAAAGAGGUUGGUCAUCCAUCAAGACUACAUUUAUAC
rnacentral:misc_RNA from 1 species